CUUAGCAGGUUGUGUCAGUCAGAGCUUCUACUCUAGGCGUUUUUUUAUGGAUGUCGGUGCAAGAGAGGCUUCAGUUCGCCUCCUUGCUGGGCUCUGCACUGUCCUGUCUAUUAUUCUGUUGCAGCUGAGCGGUGUGGACUCUUUGGAUGAGAGAGAAGUAGUCCUCGUAUGGGCUGAGUGGACUAGGCGCGUCUCCUGGGUGUGGAGACGAGGGUCUGGAGCGUCCCUGUCUGGCGGGAGACUUGUGAGGGGACUUAGACCUGGAGCGAUGGUUUUUAGACUGUGGAACAGUAGUGUAUAACCUUUUGAUAUGAUGAAGGCCACAUCUCAAAGCAUUACACACCUGCAUUCUGGAGACCAUGUUGAAGAGCUGAUCCGAAUCCUGAUCAGUCAUACCAGAAGGUGCUUGUUUUCCUGGCAACAGGUUUAACGUCGCCCGCUGAUCAUCAAAUCGCCGGUUUUGGGUGUUAGAAAUGAGUUUAAAAAAAUUCUCGAUAUCUUGAUCUGUUUAGAAGGUGUAUAAAAGCAUGCACAAGUAAAGAAACUUCACUGAUUGGAUUGCUUUUUAAGG